AAGUCGUAACAAGGUUUCCGUAGGUGAACCUGCGGAAGGAUCAUUACAGUGAUAUCUUUCUUUCCUUAGCCAAAGAGCUGCCUGCGCUUGACUGCGCGGCGGUCUCGAGGCUUUGGGACGGAGGGGGAUUAAUUUCUCUCUUUACACACCUUUGCUUUUGUUUUUACAGGCACUUUUGCUUUGGUCAGCUUUCUGUAAAAGGACGAGCUGGCCAGAGACCAACCAAACUCAGAUUAGUUUCUGUUUUGUCAUUUUUAAUACAGUCAAACCUAAGAAAUCUCAUAACGAGGUUGAAUUUAAUCUAAUUAAAACUUUCAACAACGGAUCUCUUGGUUCUC
rnacentral:misc_RNA from 1 species